GAAGAUAUCAUGUUUAGGUCACAAGGGUUCAGCCAGCCUUUGGCUGUUAGGGAGUACAGUUUUAUGGGAACAGUUUUAAAAUGCUAACUAACAUCUGUGGGCUGAGAGCCUGAUGAAGACAUCACCCAGAUUGCCUGGGGAAGGCUGCUGUCUUUGGGACCUAACUCUGGACAGGUUAUCUUGACGAAUCAAAUUACAGCCCAUCUGAGCGGAGCCCUUGCUUCUCAGGCAGACCUGGUGUCUCCAGCUGAUGAUUUGUCCCUGUCUGAAGGUGCUUCUGGAUCCAGUUGUGUGAUUGCUGCACUAGGAAACACUUGGAGUCACAUUGUGAACACCCGACUGAUCCUACAGCACCUUGAUUCGGAGAGAAGACAGAUUCUCAUUGCCAAGUCCCCUUUGGCUGCCUUCACUUCGUUUGUCUACACCAUCGAGGCAGAAGGUCUGGUUCUCCAAGGAGCAGAAGACUUUCCACGUGGAAUUUGAGCCUGCACAGGAGCCAGGUUUCAUAAACACAAGGAUAUCCCCAGAAGGACACCCAUUCUAACUUCCAGUCCACUUGGCCAAUGAACUGAUUCUACCUACACAUCAUCUGCGGACACGGUGUGCCACGGAAAUGGUGUUGGUUGCCUGCUUAACAUAGACAUGGCCCCUCAGCUCCUGAAACUAAGCCCUUAGGGUUAGAUGGAGUAGAUCCAACAAAGUGGAUGCAGUUUCCCGAAAGGCAGCACACACAGGGAGCCCCAAGUCUGCAAGUGAGGCUGGGGCAGAACUUUUGGAGGAAAUGAUAUUUUAACUGAAGCAAGAAGGUCUUUU
rnacentral:lncRNA from 1 species